GUUUGGGAAUGCAGCUCAAAGUGGGUGGUAAAUUCCAUCUAAGGCUAAAUAUAAGUGAGAGACCGAUAGCAAACAAGUACCGUGAGGGAAAGAUGAAAAGAACUUUGAAAAUAGAGUUAACAGUACGUGAAAUUGCUGAAAGGUAAACGUUUGAAGUUAGUUUUGUAUUCGUUGGAUCAGCUUCGCAAGGAGUGUAUUCUGAUGAUAAGCAAGUCAACAUCAGUCUAUGAGUGUUGGAGAAGGGUUUUGAGAAUGUAGCAAUUUAAUUGUGUUAUAGCUUGAGACUUGGAUACGAUGCUUUGGAUUGAGGAACGCGUAGUAAGCUUUGAGCGGAUUCGAAAGGAUCUCCUUACUAUGGAUGUUGGUGAAAUAACUUUAAGCGACCCGUCUUGAAACACGGACCAAGGAGUCUAACAUGCUUGCGAGUAUUAGGGUGUUGAAACCCGAAUGCGUAAUGAAAGUGAAUCUAAGAUGUGAUCCGCAAGGUGCAACAUCGGCCAGUCCGGAUCAUUUAUGUAAAGGUACUGAGCAAGAGCAAGUAUGUUAGGACCCGAAAGAUGGUGAACUAUGCCUGGAUAGGG
rnacentral:rRNA from 3 species